rnacentral:rRNA from 1 species
GAUGAACGCUAGCGGCAGGCUUAACACAUGCAAGUCGAGGGGUAUAGUAGCAAUACUAGAGACCGGCGCACGGGUGCGUAACGCGUAUGCAACCUACCUUGAACAGGGGAAUAGCCCAGAGAAAUUUGGAUUAAUGCCCCAUAGCGUAUUGAGUUGGCAUCAACACAAUACUAAAGUCACAACGGUUCAAGAUGGGCAUGCGUCCCAUUAGUUAGUUGGUAAGGUAACGGCUUACCAAGACGAUGAUGGGUAGGGGUCCUGAGAGGGAGAUCCCCCACACUGGUACUGAGACACGGACCAGACUCCUACGGGAGGCAGCAGUGAGGAAUAUUGGUCAAUGGGCGCAAGCCUGAACCAGCCAUGCCGCGUGCAGGAUGAAGCAUCUAUGGUGUGUAAACUGCUUUUGUACGGGAAGAAACACCGGAACGCGUUCCGGCUGACGGUACCGUAAGAAUAAGGAUCGGCUAACUCCGUGCCAGCAGCCGACGGUAAAGUCACCG